rnacentral:rRNA from 1 species
GAUGAACGCUGGCGGCGUGCCUAAUACAUGCAAGUCGAGCGAACAGACGAGGAGCUUGCUCCUCUGACGUUAGCGGCGGACGGGUGAGUCACACGUGGAUAACCUACCUAUAAGACUGGGAUAACUUCGGGAAACCGGAGCUAAUACCGGAUAAUAUAUUUAACCGCAUGGUUCAAUAGUGAAAGACGGUUUUGCUGUCACUUAUAGAUGGAUCCGCGCCGCAUUAGCUAGUUGGUAAGGUAACGGCUUACCAAGGCAACGAUGCGUAGCCGACCUGAGAGGGUGAUCGGCCACACUGGAACUGAGACACGGUCCAGACUCCUACGGGAGGCAGCAGUAGGGAAUCUUCCGCAAUGGGCGAAAGCCUUACGGAGCAACGCCGCGUGAGUGAUGAAGGUCUUCGGAGCGUAAAACUCUGUUAUUAGUGAAGAACAAAUGUGUAAGUAACUAUGCACGUCUUGACGGUACCUAAGCAGAAAGCCACGGCUAACUACGUG